AAAAAAAAAAAGGAUUAAACAAGCAAACAAAGCAACUAAAACAGAAAAAGAGAAAAGAAUGCUGACACUGUACUCCAAGAAAGCUAAUAAAAUUCUCAUUUGGAAACACUACUCCAAGCUACCCUCAAACCUCUACAUUAAAAACACUGCACCUUCACCACCGGCAUUCAAUCCGAACCUUGUUCUCGUUUUUUUCGUUGUUUGGGGCUACAUAAUCCAACCUGGCCUCGAACUCUCGAUCCUCUGCCUCAGCCUCAGGAGCGAGGGCAAAUUCGUGUUGUUUUUGAAUAUGUAAUUUAUUUUUAUUUUAUGUUCAUUGGUGUUUUAACCUGCCUGCAUGUAUGUCUGAGAGUGUCAGAUGUCCUGGAACUGGAGUUACAGAUAACUGGGAGUGUCCAUGUGGGUGCUAGGAAUUGAACCCCGGUCUUCCGAAAGAGCAGCCAGUGCUUUUUUUUUUUUUAAUCCUGGAACUCGCUUUGAAGAUGAGGCUGGCCUCGAACUCACGAGAUCCGCCUAACCCUGCCUGCCUCCUGAGUACUGGGAUUAAAGACGCGCGACACCCACGCGGGGCACAGCCAGGGCUCUUAGCCGCUGAGCCAUCUCUCCAGCUCAAUGCUUUUUUUUUUUUUUUGAAACUAGAUUUCAUUAUGUGGCACUGGCUGGCCUCGAACUCACAGAGAUCCCUCUGCCUCUAUAGAGUGCUAGGAUUAAAAGCAAGCGCCACCACGCCCAGUUUUUUGUUUUAAAUUGGUAAAAAAAAAACCACUGCUUAAUGGAAAGAGCCACAGGUGUAACCGGAAGACAGUUAUCGAAAGAAGCAGAAAAGAGACCAAAGGCACCGAACUCAGUCACCGCCCAGGGACCAGAGUAUCAGGACCCUGGAAGCCGGGGUCACAACUUCCCCCAACACUGUGGGCGUCCUACCUGUCGCAUCCCCCUCCUCGGGACCGGAGAAAUGCCGCCUUUCUCUGGAAAAGCCGGCCUGAGGCGCUCCACGAAGCUGGACAACUCCUCUCCAGCCCAGCGGCGGGAAGCUCCGCACUAGUUUGCAGGAGUCUCACUGUGUAGACUAGAACUCACAGAAAUCUGCCUGUUCCUGCCUCCUGAGUGCCUGAGACUAAAGUCAAGGGCCACCACAGCCCAUCCUUGCUCUACUUUUCCUCCCUUCCUCCCCACCUCUCUCUCUCUCUCUCUCCCUCUCCCUCUUUCUUUCUUUCUUUCUUCCUUUCUUUCUUUCUCUCUUUCUUCUUUUCUCUUCUUUUUUUCCCCCUCCAGACAGGGUUUCCCUGUGUAACCCUGGUGUCCUGGAUCUCACUCUGUAGACCAGGCUGGCCUUGAACUCAGAGAUCUGUCAUCCUCUACCUCCCAAGUGCUGGGAUUAGAGUUGGGCCCCACCAUGCCCCCCCCCCCCUCUUAAAGGUGGAGAUUUCUGUAAAUAAUCCCAAUCAAACUCAUUGGUUCAACAAGUUAAACUUUGGUGGUAUCUGUACUUUGUAGUAGAAUAUUUUAAGGUGUGUUACUUUUGUUUAUGUUGCAUUUGUUUAACUCUGUGAAGCUGUGUUACUGUGCCUGUGUAAAACACCUGAUUGUUUAAUAAAGAACUGGCCAAUAGCAAGGCAGGAGAAAGGAUAGGUGGGGCUGGCAAGCAGAGAGAAUAUAUAGGAGAAAACUGGGGGAUCUGAUUUAAGAAUUAGAAGCUAGAGAAGGAGGCUCCAGGGGCCAGCCACCCAGCUACACAGCAAGCCAUGGAGUAAGAGUAAGAUAUCAGAAGUUAUGAGAAUAGGAAAAGCCUAGAGGCAAAAGGUAGAUGGGAUAAUUUAAGAUACUGAAAGCUGCUAUAAACUAAGCCAAACUAAGGCAUUCAUAAGUAAUAAUAAGUCUCCAUGUGUGAUUUAUUUGGGAGCUGGAUGGUGGGCCUCUCAAAAAGAGCAAAACCCCCCAACAACAGUACUUUGGUCUGUGUGGGCUCCCGACGGGUGAGUAGAUGUGUGUGCUAUGCCUCCCCAGGAAAAGUUUUGUCGCACAACAGCAUCAUCUCCAUGUUCUGUUCUUUUUUUUAGACAGGGUUUAUUUCUUACAGUCAAGGUAGCCUCUUAAGAAACAGGGUCUUACUAUUGUCCUGUUCUGGUGGGCAACCAAUAACAGUGGCAACAACUAGUAGGGAGGUGGCUCACUCCUGGCAAGGCAGUGACCUAGGGCUUCUGGAAUUUGCUUUAUCCACUUACAUAAGCUCCCUCUGUUGGGAGCACAAAGGGUCCUCAUGCUCCAGGAAUGUUAAAAUUGCAGGGUUGUCUUUUCAGGGGAAAAGAUACAGAACCUGUUUUUCCACCCAGAAGGCUGGAAAUGGGAAUAGAGGUGAUUAAUAUCCUGUUUAUCUGGUUAUUUGAAGGGCCAGGCCAUCCCAAGCUCCCACAAGCAGGACCUUUGCAUUAUCUGUAUGGCCAGGUGAUCCCCCCCAGGCUCCCUCAACCAGGACCAGAGGUGGCUAAUAGCCCAAAUGACCUCUGUGCUACCUGUAUGACUGAACUGAAACCACACAGAUCCAUUCCUAGGCCCUUAAGAUAAUACAAGUAGCCUAUCACUAGAAUUCAUCUUCUUGGAAGAAGUGACAUGUACUUUUUGGUUUUGUUUGUUUGUUUGUUUUUGAGGCAAGGUUUCUCUGUGUAGCCCUGGCUGUCCUGGAACUCGCUCUGUAGACCAGGCUGGCCUGAACUUGCAGAGAUCCACAUGCCUCUGCCUUCCGAGUGCUGAGAUUAAAGGCGUGCGCCACCACCGCCCCUCCCAUGACAAGUAGUUUGAGUUGAGUUUCUAUAGAUAAGCCUCCUUGUGCCUAGAAGCCCUGUAAGACCACUGCUUACUGACUUGCUCCCUAUGGUGUGUUCAGUCUGCUUUCUGAUACAACUCAGGACCAUGCAGGUGUGGGGGGUGUUGGCACCAACCCCCUCUGGAUUGGGUCCUCCCACAUCCAUCAUAUCAUCAAUCAAGAAAAUGUCCUAUAGACUUACCUCCAGGCCAUCUUGUUGCAGGGAUUUUCUCAACUGAGUUUCCAUUUUCCAGAUAAUCCUAGCUUGUGUCAAAUUGAUUAAAAAAAAGAAAAGAAUUAACCAGAACACUUUCUCCCUCCCUCUCUGAAGUGCCACCAAGAGGGACACUGGUCAGCUGACUGCCCCUGUGCACCUUGUGGCAUGGGGACAUAAAACAAAGAUCACCCUCCAGCCGAUCUCCUAGGCUUGACCAUGGGCAAGGAUUGAAGGUACUAUCUUUCACAGGGAACUCACUUUGUAGACAAUGCUGGCCUUGAACUUGGAGAUCUGCCUGCCUCUUCCUCCUCCUCCUGAGUGCUAGGACUAAAGGUGUGCACCACCACCACCCAGCAGCAUCAUCUUAAUUUAGCAAUACAAAAGCAGUGGUUUUCUCUCCAGGGUUUAUGAUCUCCCCAGUCACAGGCUUUUGAGGGGGUUUUCAGGACUAGACAGAAGUUCUUUUUUGUGGAGUAGAAAUCAAAUCCAAUCAGAAAGCACUUGGCUACCCUCAUAACAGACUUGCUAUCAUGGAGGGUUCAUCUUCCCUGGCUGGUUGGUUUUGUUUUACAUAGGAAUUAUGUCUUGUAACAGUAUUGAUGACAAUUCCUCCUCUGAAGUCUGCACAGUACUUUCCAGUACCAUGAGGCCUAGCCUCAUGGGUACCUUCCUCCAGAGAGGAAGCUCCCAGCCCAGCUCCAACUUAAUUUCUAUUUUUUUUUUUUUUUUUGAGACAGGGUUUCUCUGUGUAGCCCUGGCUGUCCUGGUCUUGAACUCAGAAAUCCACCUGCCUCUGCUUCCCAAGUGCUGGGACUAAAAUUGUGUGCUAUCAUGCCCAGCUUCUUUAUUUCUUACAGUCUGGACUCUGCAAAAAAAUAGACUUUAAUAUAACAAUCUAUUACUGUUAAAUACCCUUAGCAAUUGAUCACUUGUGUUUCCUGGAUGCUAAACUAAUAAAGAAAACAAGUGUCUUGAGGUUUGUCUUAGAGAAGGCUUAUCUCAAGUGAAAAUUAAAAGCAUGUUCCAGGUCUCUCUCUCUCUCUCUCUCUCUCUCUCUCUCUCUCUCUCUCUCUCUCUCUCUCUCUCUCUC